CGAUAGAUGUUUUUAUCUUAAAAUGAGCAGGCCGAGCUUUCUCUUAGGCUCGUUCACCCGCCUAAAUUUUCCCAAAAAUUUUGGUAGGUAAAUCUAUAAGAGAAAAUUAUAAGUGCAAAAACACUUGUAGGCAAGGCUAAAACCGCGAUAGCAAAUGCUUUCAAAGUUCCAGCUCUUGCAACCGCUUUUGCUUAAUAAAUAAGGCAGGAGCCAUCCGACGUCCCAUUCUCGAUAAGGCGAUCCCGGGUGUUAUUCAUCGAGAUAGAUAGUUUGUUAGUUUUGGGCAAGCUAUUGAAAAAUACAAGACUAUAGGAUAAGAGAUUCUGUUCAUCUAAUACUCAGAUCCUAGAAAAAUUGAGAUGAACUAAUCCUGUAGUAUCGUUUUAAGAUAAUCUUCUAGACGGCGGUUCAACUCCGCCCAUCUCCACCA
rnacentral:tmRNA from 1 species